AAGCCCCCCUCAAAACCAGGUCUCCCUUGAGGGCCGUGGAAGACCACCACGUCGAUAGGCCGGAGAUGUAAGCGCAGCAAUGCGUUCAGUUGACCGGUACUAAUGGCCCGAUUGGCUUGAUUUG
rnacentral:rRNA from 1 species